UACGUAGGCAGCAAGCGUUGUUCGGAGUUACUGGGCGUAAAGGGUGUGUAGGCGGUCUUCUAAGUUUGGUGUGAAAUCUCCCGGCUCAACUGGGAGGGUGCGCCGAAAACUGGGAGGCUAGAGUGCGGGAUGGGAGAGUGGAAUUCCUGGUGUAGCGGUGAAAUGCGUAGAUAUCAGGAGGAACACCGGCGGUGUAGACGGCUUUCUGGACCGUAGCUGACGCUGAGACACGAAAGCGUGGGUAGCAAACAGG
rnacentral:rRNA from 1 species